UAUGAAGUGUCGCCAACCAGGAAAGCUCACUCAAGCCUCACAUUCAUGGUUUUUAUCGAGUGUUGCAUAGGCCAGAGUGUCUGUGUCUGACUGCCCUUUGUUACCCAGUCUCUCUGCCCUCCUCAUAGAACAUGGCGCAGUGCAGCUACCAGAGAUCACACUGUUAGCAGAGACUCUCCAGCCUGCGCCAGCGCUCUCAGGUCCCUAAAGGAAGCGCAAUUUCUCCCAUCAUUUCCAAAACCCUGGCCUCACAGCUCCAGAACCUUGAUAUUGGAGAGGAUUUCUGUAGACCAAGAAAACAAGAUGCAGUCACAAAACACAUUAUGGUGAUGUUAUACUUUUAGAAGUGACGUGAAAGAAGCCAGCUGCCGAGUUCUGAGGACCCUCAAGCAACCUUCUGGAGAUGUCCAUGCAACAAGAAUGAGACUUUCUGCUAAGAGCCUACAAUGAACUAAGGCCUCAUGCGAGCACCUGUGAGCAAGCCAUGUUGGAAGUGGGUGCUCCAAAUGUAGUCUAGAAUCACAUUUCUCCAAUCCUGACCAAAUCUGUGGUUUUUUUUUUUUUUCCUGAGAAAAAUCUUAACUACAUAUUCAUUACAGAUCCAAGUCAGGAUACCUAGAUAUCU